CAACUCUCAACAACGGAUAUCUUGGCUCUCGCAACGAUGAAGAACGCAGCGAAAUGCGAUACGUAGUGUGAAUUGCAGAAUCCCGUGAACCAUCGAAUCUUUGAACGCAUAUUGCGCUCGAGCCUUCGGGCAAGAGCAUGUCUGUCUCAGCGUCGUUUUGAUACC
rnacentral:rRNA from 1 species